AGUUCUGCCGCCCAUCGGUGCCCUUUUCGAUCCUAAGCAAUCUUUGCGUCAAUCUUCGCCACCUUCGCCGGCUCCCCGCCUAUGUCGGGCCAAUUUAGGUUGGUUCCAAAACCUCUCUUGUCAUCGCUGUUGUUCCUUCCUCUUCUUGCUUCGUUUAUUCAGCUUCCGAGGGUUUAUUCGCAAUCUCUCCCGAUCUUUCGGGAUUUCCCUCUUUCUUUCCCUUACUGCUGGCAUGGACGUAGGAGUUGCCCGAGCGGCCCUCACCGUCGACGUCCCUUACGAUGCCGAGCCUUCAGUCCUUCGAGCCCUUUCGAGGAGUUCUCCCGCCGAGGCUUCUGCCCCGAAGGUCG
rnacentral:lncRNA from 1 species